GACGAACGCUGGCGGCGUGCUUAACACAUGCAAGUCGAACGGAAAGGCCCUGCUUGCAGGGUGCUCGAGUGGCGAACGGGUGAGUAACACGUGGGUGAUCUGCCCCUUACUUUGGGAUAAUCCUGGGAAACUGGGUCUAAUACUGGAUAGGACCAUGCUGUAGGUGGUGUGGUGGAAAGAUUAGUUUCGGUAAGGGAUGAGCUCGCGGCCUAUCAGCUUGUUGGUGGGGUAAUGGCCUACCAAGGCGUCGACGGGUAGCCGGCCUGAGAGGGUGGACGGCCACAUUGGGACUGAGAUACGGCCCAGACUCCUACGGGAGGCAGCAGUGGGGAAUAUUGCACAAUGGGCGAAAGCCUGAUGCAGCGACGCCGCGUGGGGGAUGACGGCCUUCGGGUUGUAAACUCCUUUCAGCCAUGACGAAGCCCUUGUGGUGACGGUAGUGGUAGAAGAAGCACCGGCUAACUACGUG
rnacentral:rRNA from 1 species